rnacentral:rRNA from 1 species
CUGUGUCCUUCGACGCCGGUUCACCGCCUGUCGGUGCCAACUGGCGUUUUGCGGGACGUCCUGUCGGUGGUGUGUCAGGAAUCUUAGUUGUGCUAUGCUCUGCUUAGUGCAGCUCUGGUUUCGGGCCACUUUCAUAAUCCCGCCGCGGUGCUCUUCACCGAGUGUCGAGGCGGGCCGGCACGUUUACUUUGAACAAAUUAGAGUGCUUCAAGCAGGCUUGUCACGCCUGUAUACUGUGUGCAUGGAAUAAUGGAAUAGGACCUCGGUUCUAUUUUGUUGGUUUCCGGAAUCUGAGGUAAUGAUCAAUGGGGACAGGCGGGGGCAUUCGUAUUGCGACGUUAGAGGUGAAAUUCUUGGAUCGUCGCAAGACGGACCGAAGCGAAAGCAUUUGCCAAGUAUGUUCCCGUCGAUCAAGAACGAAAGUUAGAGGUUCGAAGGCGAUCAGAUACCGCCCUAGUUCUAACCAUAAACAAUGCCUGCCAGCGAUCCGCCGGCGUCCCUCCGAUGACCCGGCGGGCAGCUUCCGGGAAACCAGAGCUUUUGGGUUCCGGGGGAAGUAUGGUUGCAAAGCUGAAACUUAAAGGAAUUGACGGAAGGGCACCACCAGGAGUGGAGCCUGCGGCUUAAUUUGACUCAACACGGGAAAACUCACCAGGCCCGGACACCGGAAGGAUUGACAGAUUGAUAGCUCUUUCUUGAUUCGGUGGGUGGUGGUGCAUGGCCGUUCUUAGUUGGUGGAGCGAUUUGUCUGGUUAAUUCCGAUAACGAACGAGACUCUAGCCUACUAACUAGACGUAUCUGGUAUCAGCAAUCGUGCUACCAGCGAUCAUAUCUCUUCUUAGAGGGACAGGCGGCUUCUAGCCGCACGAGACUGAGCAAUAACAGGUCUGUGAUGCCCUUAGAUGUCCUGGGCCGCACGCGCGCUACACUGAAGGAAUCAGCGUGUCUUCCCUGUCCGAAAGGACCGGGUAACCCGCUGAACCUCCUUCGUGCUUGGGAUUGGGGCUUGCAAUUGUUCCCCAUGAACGAGGAAUUCCCAGUAAGCGCGAGUCAUAAGCUCGCGUUGAUUACGUCCCUGCCCUUUGUACACACCGCCCGUCGCUACUACCGAUUGAAUGAUUUAGUGAGGU